rnacentral:rRNA from 1 species
UGCCAGACUCCUACGGGAGGCAGCAGUGGGGAAUAUUGGGCAAUGGGCGCAAGCCUGACCCAGCAACGCCGCGUGAAGGAAGAAGGCUUUCGGGUUGUAAACUUCUUUUAAGAGGGAAGAGAAGAAGACGGUACCUCUUGAAUAAGCCACGGCUAACUACGUGCCAGCAGCCGCGGUAAUACGUAGGUGGCAAGCGUUGUCCGGAUUUACUGGGUGUAAAGGGCGUGCAGCCGGGCUGACAAGUCAGAUGUGAAAUCCCGCGGCUCAACCGCGGAACUGCAUUUGAAACUGUCAGUCUUGAGUACCGGAGAGGUCAUCGGAAUUCCUUGUGUAGCGGUGAAAUGCGUAGAUAUUAGGAGGAACACCAGUGGCGAAGGCGGCCUGCUGGACGACAACUGACGGUGAGGCGCGAAAGCGUGGGGAGCAAACAGGAUUAGAUACCCUUGUA